CAGCACCAGGGGGCACCAUCCAGGGCAGAAUCCAUCGCCAACUCAUUCUGCGCUCCAGUGAAGCAGAAAAUACCCUACCAGGCAUUUAAAGCAUUCUGCGAGGAGAAGGAUGAGAUUGACGGAUACCUGCAGGAUUUUGAGCGGUUAUGCAACCUACACGAUCUGGAGCAGGCAAUGUGGGUACCCCUACUAGCAGGCAAGUUGGCAGGACAGGCAGCAGAGGCUUAUCGCGCUGUUCCCAGAGAGGACAGCAAGGACUACUUUAAAGUCAAACGGGCAAUUCUAGAAAGGUAUGCCAUAACACCGGAGGCAUAUCGGCG